rnacentral:lncRNA from 1 species
CAACAGUAAAACUGAGGCUCCAGAGGCUGUGGGAUUUGCUCAGGGCCACACCGCCAGAAGUAGAUCCAGCCAUCCUGACUCAGAACCAGCCAGAGAGGCCUGACAUUGAAUGUCAGACACUGCCAGGGAGAAGUGGGUAAUCUCAGACGUGGAAAUUGAGACUGCAUGACUCACCCAAAGCCUCUGGAUUAGUAAGAUACUUAGCUGAGAUCUCAACAUGGAGCUGCCAGACCCCACCUGUUAUGAAGCACCUACAAAAGAGGAUGGUGAAAAACCCUCCAGGCUGGACAGAGGGUCUCCUAGAGGGACCACAGGGUGGAGUCGACCCUUGGACUUGGGCUAGAAGCAUCUAAGACCCUAAUUAAAACAAGGACAGAAGGAAUGGUGAUAAUCGGUCUGUUUACAGAGUGCCAGGCAAGCACUAUUAUUAGCUCCAUUUUAUAGACACUCCGCAUAUAUUAUCAUAGAUAGUCUGCAUAUGUUUAAUCUUUCCUACACCCUUACAGGACAGAUAUUAUUAUGGUCUCCAUUCUGCAAAUAGGAGAAAUGAGGCUCAGAGGGAUGAAGACUUUCUCGUCCACAUCCGCCAUGCUAGUGAACAGCAGUGCUGGGAUCUGAACCCAGGUUUCAAAGAGCAUCUAUUAUUCAUUAUUUAUUGGGGCCUUCCUGGAUGCCUGACACUAUAACAAUAACGACGACAAUAAUAAUACUAAUUCCUUGUGUUCCAGGUCAUAGAAUGUGAAAGGAAAAUAAAUCUUGGGGCCCCCAAAUCACUAAGCUAAAGGGAAAAGUCAAGCUGGGAACUGUUUAGGGCCAACCUACCCCCCAUUCUAUUCAAAGGCAGCCCUCUGCUCACUGACAUAGAUGCAUUAUCUGUUUGUCUCCUUUGGAAAGGCUAAUCAGAAACUCAAAAGAAUGCGACCAUUUGUCUCUCACCUACCUGUGACCUGGAAAACCCCUCCCUGCUUCAAGUUGUCCUGCAUUUCUAGAUCGAACCAAUGUACUUCUUACAUAUAUUGAUUGAUGUCUCAUGUCUCUCUAAAAUGUAUAAAAUUAAGCUGUGCCCAGACCACCUUGGGCAUGUGACAGGAGGACUUCCUGAGGCUGUGUCAUGGGAGUGUCCUCAACCUCGGCAAAAUAAACUUCCUAAAUGAACUGAGAUCUGUCUCAGAUUUUCUGGGUUCACAGGUAUGUACACAUUUUACAGCAUCACCUCACUUAAAACAACAAUCCUUAUGGUAUAACCAUUUGAACCCUAAUUUCCAGAUGAGGAAACAAAACAGAAGCACAAAGUGAAGUAAUUUGCACAUCCUGCUGGUUAAAGUUGGAGCCAGUUUCGGAACUCAUGCCCUGCUCCCCAGCCAACUCAGAAAUCUGGCUGACCCUGUCAUCAGCACGUGGCCCCAGCGUGUCUCCCAGCCCACCACACCCGCUGGAGCCUCUGAUGUUUAUAAUUCUACCAGGACUGGCUUGAAACUCCCCCUGAAUGCUGCUGGGGCUUGUUCCUGCCCAGCCUGUGUUUGCAAUGGCUUUGACUGAUUUUCUGGAAGGCAAGCCUCUGCCGGGAACACAUUCUUUUUAAUGGAGUGUUAAUCAGGAGGGAAGGAAAAGAAAGAUUUUUCUACUGCCCAGCUUCACAGGGGCUGAGCUUCCUGUCUUCUCUCAUUUUUCCCCCUAGUAUGUUUAUUUCUCCCAGGGUGGGAUGCGGCAGUGAGAGCCCUGGGCCUAAAGCUGUGCAUAGGCCCAGUCCCUACUCCACUCCUAUUGCUGACUCAUGGCAUGACUGUGAACGAGUCCCACCUAGGCCUCAGCCUCCUCAGCUGCAAGAUGGGCCUACCCUGCUACCCUGGAGUGGACUGAGGAUGAUUUUGGAGAAGUAUAAGAAUGUCAGCCCACCCUUGGCACCUAGUAGGUGCUCAGUAAAUCAUCACUUCUUCUUUCUGGCCUCCUAAUUCCCAGACAACCUGGGUCUGACUCCUUGGUGGCCUUGAACAAGUUACUUUAAUCUCUCCGUGCCUCAGUUUCCUCAUCUGAAAAAAGAAGAUAAACAGUACCCACCUCCUCUGGUUGUGGUAUUAGCUGAGAUAUUAUAGGCAACAGCAGUUAGCAAAGUGCUGAGCGAAUAGUUAGCACUCAGAGUUACCAGUUAGUGUUACUACAAUUACUGGUAAGCCUCAGUUUCCCUGUCUGGGACAAGGAGAGGUGUUUCACCGGAAACCAGUUGCGGUUAUUAACACUAUCAUUGUUCAGCCUUAACGUGCACUUCUAGACUCUGUUAUGAUGCUGGAGUGCACAAAAUCCCGUUUCUUCUUUGUUUUUUAAUUCUUUGAUAUCUGCUUAACCUAUUCUUUAUAUUAAAUGCCCUCUGUCAAAAUAUCCAACAUGGUUUCUAUUUUCCUGUCUGUACCAUGAUUGAUGAGCACCCAGAGGCCCCAAUAGCUGAGUCAGGCAGGUUAAGAUCUCUGCUGGGAGCCGGGAGAGAAGUUUUCCGUAAAGAUAACUUUGCAGGCUGCAUUCCUGAGCCCUGAGGUCACCUGUGUCACACUGUCCCAACGUCAGCUCCCAGGAAACUUUCUCUGGCUAUUCCCAGGGCUGAGGGCUACAUCCCGGCCUCCCCAUUCUCUCUCCCUCCUGCCCCUGACUUACCAGACACCUCCACGUAUCCAUCUUUG